AUUGAACGCUGGCGGCAGGCCUAACACAUGCAAGUCGAACGAGUGGCGGACGGGUGAGUAAUGUCUGGGAAACUGCCUGAUGGAGGGGGAUAACUACUGGAAACGGUAGCUAAUACCGCAUACCCUCGGAUGUGCCCAGAUGGGAUUUGCUAGUAGGUGGGGUAACGGCUCACCUAGGCGACGAUCCCUAGCUGGUCUGAGAGGAUGACCAGCCACAUUGGAACUGAGACACGGUCCAGACUCCGACGGGAGGCAGCAGUGGGGAAUAUUGCACAAUGGGCGCAAGCCUGAUGCAGCAAUGCCGCGUGUAUGAAGAAGGCCUUCGGGUUGUAAAGUACUGUCAGCGGGGAGGCGGUACCCGCAGAAGAAGCAACGGCUAACUCCGUGACAGCAGCCGCGGUAAUUC
rnacentral:rRNA from 1 species